AGUCCUCAUCGCUUACCACGCCGUAACUAGGGUCUUCUUCUUCUUCUAACGCCUGGUAUCUAAAUUUUUUUUCUCUGUUAUCUGUCAGCAUCAAUGGCGCCUCGAGUAAUUGGAUUACUGAAAUCGAGUUGCAGAAUCUCUUUGUUUGUCUCCAAUAGUCCAAUCGCGUCUUAUAGCCUUCUCUUCUAAUAAUCCGAAACGUUCCGAGUUAUUCAUCGCAUUUAUCACCUUAUUAACUCCAUAGGCGACGUGAACCACGAUCUGACUUUAAUUGUGAGUUAUACCUCUGAACUACACCUAUAAAAAGCCUGGCCGAGGCUCCUCCACCGUCCAAGUGCCGUUGCUCAGGUUCUGGAAAGCCAGAAAUGUCCGAGUGGAGGGGAACUGAUGUCUCUUGAUAUGCUCUUACUGGCUUCAAAGGCCGUUUGUUCCUUAAUGCAACUUCAGGAACACACAUUUAUUUCGAUAAGGAGACUAAUGUUAGGAGAGGUCCUCUUCUACAAACACUGGGCUUCAGUCAGUAGCUCCGCUUCUGAAAGGAUAUGCCACGGUUGAGAAUCUGACCAUAUCCGAGCUUAAUGAGUUUGUCAUAGCUGCACUGUCUCAGGACAUCGAUUUCAUGUGUUCUGGGAAAGUGUUGAUUUAGGAACUGAUAAAUUUAAAAAGAAAUGUUCCUAAAUGUUGCAUAAUGAGAGAUAUGCAAUGUGAUUAAAUUUGUUAAACUUGCGGGAUUAUAAGUCGACACAAAAAUACACAAACCAUUUAAUUAUUAGUCACUUAUUGAUGAGUUAACUCAGUGCUACACUGACAAAAAACAUCACAACAUCUCGUAGAACAGAGGCCUUCUCUAUGAUACGGGACAUGCAUAGAUGUCCUACAUGUUGAUGUAUUAGCUAAGAAAGCUAGGAUAAGCAGGCAAAACUGCCUUUUUCAAAAGAAAAGAAAAAACAAAUAGUUGCACAAAAAAGAAUAAAAGGAAAAGAUUAACCAAUUUAAAAAAAAGGAAAGUUUCACCGCCAAAGGUGUGUCUGGUCCCGCCGAGAGUUCUGUUUCAGUCAACCACCGUAUGUUCGAUUGAACGGUUUGCAUCUGGUGACUCUGAGACUUUGACCUCUCCGCGAUUUUCUUGGCUUCGCUUUUGUUUUGUCCAAACUCUUUAUGAAGAAGCAGAGUGUUGGUUAGUGAUUCUGGGGAUGUUCUACGUUUUCUGACUUGGUAAAAGUAUUUGGGUUUCAAGGCAUUGAGCAAAGGGUCUUUAAUGGCUUCCCGGAUUAACAGACUCGGCCUUCUGGUCGUUGAAGGAGAUAUCGACUGUGACGUUUGAUGGAAGCUUUUCUGCAAAACUUUGAGGAAAUCACGCCUGAGACUUUGUUCUGUGAUAAUGCAAGCUUCGCCCUCCUAGACCCCGAGGAAAAGAGCCGUUCAGAAGAUUUGAAGAAAGAUCAAGAACUUGUACUGCUUCAAAACAUCACCUGAAAAGGAGUUCUUUGCCAAGAAGGUGUUUGUUGGGGACUACCAAUCUUGUGACUGUUAAUAUGUCUUGUGUGUGUUGGGCUGCCCAAGAUCUGAACACGUGAUACCUGUCCACAAAGCAUGAUGUUUCAUCAUCAUAGUUUCAGUUGCGUACAACAAAGAGAGAGAGAGUCACUGAAGGAUAAGAGUAUUUGAAAAGAUAGCAGGAGAACACCAUCAAUGCUGAGGGCUUGGGAGUUUUCUGGAGGCUAGAAGAAGGCGAAAGAGGAAUAAUGAGAAAAGGUUGCUUCGGUUGGAAGUCAUAGUUUCUCAGUUCUAGGUAUCUAUCUCUCCUUCUUGCAUUAAUAAAUAACUAGUUACUCUUGUUCUAGUUACACAAACCAACCUUGUCCUUUGUGGAUCCACGUUUCUUCAUGUAAGACCAUAACACAGCGAACUGGUAAGUCUUCUGACAGAACCUCCAAAGGUUGAGCUGGCUCUGUGACUAGCUCAUGAAAAUAUUCUGUCUUCCCAGAAACUUCUCUGUACGAUCUUGCCAAUGAAACCCCCAUAUAUAUAUAGCAAAAACCUUCUGCAGCCUGGAAUGGGGUGUGAUGCGCAACAUAGGUAACUCUGUCCUUGACCUAUUCUAGCACCACUAGAACCAUAUAAACGAGCGCACAUUUUCUGUAGAAUUCUUUCAGUAUCUUUUUUUCUUGGCUUCCCAUUCCAUAGACUUGCAGUACCAUAAGCUUAUUAUACCCAAGGAGCAAAGAAGAGUCUAGUGAUUCGUUGUGGUGUGUCUAAGAUUAGGUUCCAAGGGGAGGACAUGUACCAGCUUGCUUCAAACUCUCAAAGACUCUGUAACUAACCUGACCCGACUGAAAGUAGCCAUUUUGGCCACGGAGAAUAAGUUGUCCUGUAAUAUUCAGUGGCUGCUCAUCAUUAUGCCUUGAAAGUAGGGAUCUGAUCUUUGAUAGGAUCUGCGCACAAAAAGAAAGCACUUUGAGAUCUGUUAGAUGGUUUUCUAAUAGUUUUCUUUAGCACACUUUUGGCGUUAAAAUAAAUUAUGUUCUUACUCUUUUAGAAUGGCAUUCCAUCUUAUUAUUUCA